rnacentral:rRNA from 1 species
GAGGAAUAUUGGUCAAUGGGCGUAGGCCUGAACCAGCCAUCCCGCGUGAAGGAAGAAAGCGCUAUGCGUUGUAAACUUCUUUUCCAGAGGAAUAAAAUUUUGUACGAGUACGGAACUGAAGGUACUCUGGGAAUAAGCAUCGGCUAACUCCGUGCCAGCAGCCGCGGUAAUACGGAGGAUGCGAGCGUUAUCCGGAUUUAUUGGGUUUAAAGGGUGCGUAGGCGGAUUAAUAAGUCAGUGGUGAAAACCUUCAGCUUAACUGGAGACUUGCCAUUGAUACUGUUAGUCUUGAGUACGGUCAAGGUAGGCGGAAUGUGUAAUGUAGCGGUGAAAUGCUUAGAUAUUACACAGAACACCGAUUGCGAAGGCAGCUUACUGGGCCAUUACUGACGCUGAUGCACGAAAGCGUGGGGAGCGAAC